rnacentral:lncRNA from 1 species
UAAGUAGUACAAUUAAAACAGCACGUUCCGCAACUCCGUCGCUGUAGCAUAGAAAGGUUAGUUUUUAUUAACCUAUUGCUGAAGCAUAAAAUGCCGUUGACUUGGCGAUAGUUACUCUUAUUCAAGGACACCGUGCUAAAGUGCUUGGAUGCCUCGCAUCCGACACAGCGUUUUAAAAUGCUGCGUACUCCAUUCUCAUUUAACUUAAACGUCAGAGUAUUCAACUAAGCGAGUUGGUUCAUAGUUUCUCUAAGUCUGAAAAAAAGACUGGAGGGAGAGAAGACACAACAGAGGCAUUGUCUUGUUUCCUUUUUAUCUACAGAUUGGUAAGCUCGCUACAUGCGAGUUCUCAUAAGAACACACUCGGACAUGACAUCGACUAGCAUUCUUUGUGUGAUAACCCCAGCAGCAGUAUUUCCGCUCACAGCUCAACUAUAUUCUCGACACGGGAUUUGAAAUAGCUAGAGUGCAGUGUAGCCGUACUUGAACGGUAGUUAACCGGUGCUAUCAGUCAUGACGUUCGACUUUCUGGUACGAGAACUUCAAGGAACUGUUGCCACAGUGUUGCGUCUUUUCUGGCUUACCAUGCUUCCUCUUAAGGCACAAGUCGUCACUCUGCAGCUCAAAACGGAAUUUACCUAUAAAAAAUAUUGAAAGCAUUCAUACCGCUUGCAUGAGGUGACAUGGUACUGAUGCAUGCCAGCGGCAAACCGCAACUAACAUAGCAUUGCUUUAUGUUGCUCCUUAGUGUGUUUUAUGAAACGUAUAACCGAUUUUACCGCAUUGUCUUGUCAUGGCAAUCCUCACCUACUCCUUUU